rnacentral:lncRNA from 1 species
GGGCUGACAGGUCUGAGGCCUGAAGGACUUCCGGGAACCGCAAAGCACGGUGUGCCUCCGUUGUCCUGAUGAAAAAGCCGCGCGCGGACGACUGGCCGGCCCACGCUUGCAGCUCCCAGAAGUUGACAGGCAUCCUCCGGUGACCGGUGUGAGUAUGGUAUCAGGAUGAUAUGACUGCAAGCAACAGAAAAAUCAAACAAAAAUGGCCCAAGCCAAGAAGAGAAAUGAUUAUUUCACAUUCCAAGAAGUUUGGGAGUCGAGUGGUUAAACGGCUAAUUAAUCUAGAGCUCAACAAUAUCACCCAGGACCCAUUUUCACUAUGGUGGCUAAAGCCCUGCACCCUUCAGGCUUGCACCAUGGCAGCAGCAGUGACAGUAAAGACACCCUUACACCACAAUGCUCCAUGACCAGGAAAAGGGUCUCCUCUCUCCUGCCCCUUUCUGGAGGCUCCACCGAAGAUUUCUCUUCACAUUCCGUUUCUCAUUCCUGAAGCAGUCGCUGGCAACAGGGAUGGACUUACCGCAUUGGGUACAGAGCAAUGAAGAUUCACCACUAGCCAUCCUAAUGCGUGUGAUACACCCUGAUGAGUGUACCUCAUUGCAGUUUCGAUCUGCAUUUCCUUCAUGAUUGGUGAGGUUGAGCAUCGUUUUUGGUGCGGCCCAUCCGGAUUUCACAUGAAGGAUGUUCUAAGAAGGAACUGGAAGACUGGUG